rnacentral:tRNA from 1 species
UGGUUGGGGGGGUAUCUACCCCAUAAAUAGAUUUACAGUCUACCGCCUAAUUCAGCCACCUAACC